AAACUUCUAUCAAUGCUUUUAAAAAUGGCAGCAUCAGGUGUCAUGUGGUUAGUGCGACCAUUGUCAAUCAACCACCCUUUUGUGGUUUUUCUUUUGGCAGCUGAGCAGGAGAUAGCAAAUACUUGUUCUUCCUUAUCACAACCCUCUUCUGCCACUUGAGCUUCUGUUCUAGGCUGUUGAGGCUGGUUUUGCUUCUGCUGGCCUUCGUUUCUGUAAACUUU
rnacentral:lncRNA from 1 species